AGUAUAAUUGCUGGAUCAUAUGAUAUACAUAUAUUUAGCUUUAAAAGAUAUUGCCAAAUGGUUUUCCAAAGUAAUUGUACCAUUUGCACUCCCACUAGCAAU
rnacentral:pre_miRNA from 1 species